CGAGCGGAGGUUUAAGCGGAAGUUUUCGGAUGGAAGCAAUAAACCUUAGCGGCGGACGGGUGAGUAACGCGUGGGUAACCUGCCUCAUACAGGGGGAUAACAGUUAGAAAUGACUGCUAAAACCGCAUAAGCGCACAUUGUCGAGUGACAGAGUGUGAAAAACUCCGGUGGUAUGAGAUGGACCCGCGUCUGAUUAGCUAGUUGGUGAGGUAACGGCCCACCAAGGCGACGAUCAGUAGCCGGCCUGAGAGGGCGACCGGCCACAUUGGGACUGAGACACGGCCCAAACUCCUACGGGAGGCAGCAGUGGGGAAUAUUGCACAAUGGGGGAAACCCUGAUGCAGCGACGCCGCGUGAGUGAAGAAGUAUUUCGGUAUAUAAAGCUCUAUCAGCAGGGAAGAAGAAAGACGGUACCUGACUAAGAAGCCCCGGCUAACUACGUGCCAGCAGCCGCGGUAAUACGUAGGGGGCAAGCGUUAUCCGGAUUUACUGGGUGUAAAGGGAGCGUAGACGGCUGUGCAAGUCUGAAGUGAAAGCCCAGGGCUCAACCCUGGGACUGCUUUGGAAACUGUGGAGCUAGAGUGCUGGAGAGGUAAGUGGAAUUCCUAGUGUAGCGGUGAAAUGCGUAGAUAUUAGGAGGAACACCAGUGGCGAAGGCGGCUUACUGGACAGUAACUGACGUUGAGGCUCGAAAGCGUGGGGAGCAAACAGGAUUAGAUACCCUGGUAGUCCACGCGGUAAACGAUGAAUACUAGGUGUUGGAGAGCAAAGCUUUUCGGUGCCGUCGCAAACGCAAUAAGUAUUCCACCUGGGGAGUACGUUCGCAAGAAUGAAAC
rnacentral:rRNA from 1 species